GCCCCACUGGCGCAAUGGUAGCGCGCGAGACUUCUAAGUCGUUCAAAAUCCCGAAAUCUCGAGGCUGCGGGUUCGAGUCCCGCGUGGGGUA